rnacentral:rRNA from 1 species
UACAGAGGGCGCGAGCGUUGUCCGGAAUCACUGGGCGUAAAGGGCGCGUAGGUGGCGGCAUAAGGCCGUGGUGAAAGUCUGGGGCUCAACCCCAGAUCGGCCAUGGCGACUGUGUCGCUAGGGUACUGUAGAGGCAGGUGGAAUUCCGGGUGUAGCGGUGGAAUGCGUAGAGAUCGGGAGGAACACCCGUAGCGAAGGCGGCACUCUGGGCCGUGACUGACGCUGAGGAGCGAAAGCGUGGGUAGCGAACAGG